rnacentral:rRNA from 1 species
CGGAUUUAUCCCUGCGCGUGAUAUGAAUUCAAGCGUUUUGAAGGGCAUCUGGUGAAUGCCUUGGCAAUCAGAGGCGAUGAAGGACGUGGCAGGCUGCGAUAAGCCCCGGUUAGAGGUCAACACUCUUUGACCCGGGGAUUUCCGAAUGGGGAAACCCACCUCUUUUGAGGUAUCUUAACGUGAAUACAUAGCGUUAAGAGGCAAACCCGGGGAAGUGAAACAUCUCAGUACCCGGAGGAAAAGAAAUCAACCGAGAUUCCGCUAGUAGUGGCGAGCGAACGCGGAUCAGCCCAAUGGCCUAAAGUUAAUAAGUGGAAGUGGAUGGAAAGCCACACCAAAGUAGGUGAUAGUCCUGUAUACGUAAAAAUUCUUUAGGUCUUCGAGUAGGACGGGACACGUGAAAUCUUGUCUGAAUAUAGGGGGACCAUCCUCUAAGGCUAAAUACUCCUGAUUGACCGAUAGUGAACAAGUACCGUGAGGGAAAGGUGAAAAGAACCCCGAUAAGGGGAGUGAAACAGAUCUGAAACCGGAUGCCUACAAGCAGUCGGAGCACGUUUAUCGUGUGACGGCGUACCUUUUGUAUAAUGGGUCAGCGAGUUAGUCUAUCAUGCAAGCUUAAGCCGUUAGGUGGAGGCGCAGCGAAAGCGAGUCUUAAAUGGGCGACAUAGUAUGGUGGAUUACACCCGAAACCCGGUGAUCUAGUCAUGGACAGGUUGAAGUUGCGGUAACACGCAAUGGAGGACCGAACCCACUACUGUUGAAAAAGUACGGGAUGAUCUGUGACUAGGGGUGAAAGGCCAAUCAAACCGGGUAAUAGCUGGUUCUCCGCGAAAUCUAUUUAGGUAGAGCGUCAGGUUAUACACCUUCGGGGGUAGAGCACUGGAAGGGCUAGGGGGGCGCGAGCCUUACCAAACCUUACCAAACUCCGAAUACCGAAGAGUGCUUUCCUGGCAGACACACUAUGGGUGAUAACGUCCGUGGUGAAAAGGGAAACAACCCAGACCUACAGCUAAGGUCCCCAAGUAAUAGUUAAGUGCGAAAGCAAGUCGGAAGUCCAUGACAACCAGGAGGUUGGCUUAGAAGCAGCCACCCUUUAAAGAAAGCGUAAUAGCUCACUGGUCUAAACAAGACUUCUGGCGGCGAAGAUGUACCGGGACUCAAACUAUUCACCGAAGCUUAGGAUGCAUACUUUGUAUGCGUGGUAGCGGAGCAUUCCGUAAGCCUGCGAAGGGUAACCGCGAGGUUGCCUGGAGGUAUCGGAAGUGAGAAUGCUGACAUGAGUAACGAGAUGAGUGUGAGAAACACUCACGCCGAAAUCCUAAGGGUUCCUACGUAAAGCUAAUCUGCGUAGGGUAAGCCGGCCCCUAAGGCGAGGACGAAAGUCGUAGUCGAUGGGAACCACGUUAAUAUUCGUGGGCCAGUGGAUGUGUGACGGUGGCCGUAAAUCAUUCCUUCUUAUUGGAUUGGAGGGGUGGUGAAGGACAUCCAGGAAAUAGCCUCCACAUUAGACCGUACCCGAAACCGACACAGGUAGGAUGGUAGAGAAUACCAAGGCGCUUGAGAGAACUAUGCUGAAGGAACUCGGCAAAUUACAUCCGUAACUUCGGGAGAAGGAUGCCCCCAUUGAAGGCAACUUUGGUGGGGGGGCACAGACCAGGGGGUGGCGACUGUUUAUCAAAAACACAGGGCUCUGCGAAGUCGCAAGACGACGUAUAGGGUCUGACGCCUGCCCGGUGCCGGAAGGUUAAAAGGAGGAGUGCAAGCUCUGAAUUGAAGCCCCGGUAAACGGCGGCCGUAACUAUAACGGUCCUAAGGUAGCGAAAUUCCUUGUCGGGUAAGUUCCGACCUGCACGAAUGGCGUAACGACUUCCCCACUGUCUCCAGCAUAGACUCAGUGAAAUUGAACUCGAGGUUAAGAUGCCUCGUACCCGCGGUCAGACGGAAAGACCCUAUGAACCUUUACUAUAGCUUUACAGUGGCAAUAUGACUGUCAUGUGUAGCCUAGGUGGGAGACUUUGAAGUGGCGGCGCCAGCUGUCAUGGAGUCAACAGGUGAAAUACCACCCCUGGCUUUUGUGUUGUCUAACCGCGAACCGUUAUCCGGUUCCGGGACCCUGUAUGGUGGGUAGUUUGACUGGGGCGGUCGCCUCCCAAAUUGUAACGGAGGCGCGCGAUGGUGAGCUCAGGACGGUCGGAAAUCGUCCAUUGAGUGCAAUGGCAUAAGCUCGCCUUACUGUGAGACUGACAGGUCAAGCAGUGUCGAAAGACGGUCAUAGUGAUCCGGUGGUUUCCGCAUGGAAGGGCCAUCGCUCAACGGAUAAAAGGUACUCUAGGGAUAACAGGCUGAUAGCGCCCAAGCGUCCACAGCGACGGCGCUGUUUGGCACCUCGAUGUCGGCUCAUCUCAUCCUGGGGCUGUAGCAGGUCCCAAGGGUAUGGCUGUUCGCCAUUUAAAGAGGUACGUGAGCUGGGUUCAGAACGUCGUGAGACAGUUCGGUCCCUAUCUGCCGUGGGAGUUGGAGUCUUGAGAAGAGCUGCCCUUAGUACGAGAGGACCGGGGUGGACGAAUCUCUGGUGUAUCUGUUGUCGCGCCAGCGGCACCGCAGAGUAGCUAUAUUCGGACAGGAUAACCGCUGAAAGCAUCUAAGCGGGAAGCCCCCUUCAAUACCAGGACUCCCUAUCAGAGCCGUGGAAGACCACCACGUUGAUAGGAUGGAUGUGGAAGUAUGGCAACAUAUGAAGCUAACCAUUACUAAUUGCUCGAUUGGCUUGAAUUUAUAUC